UCCACUAAAGGACGGUCCAAAGAACGGUCCGUAACACGAAGGACGGUCCGUCUUUCGGGGGCGUCCUUUGGCCCAUUUUCACCAGAAAAGUAUAAAUAAGACACUUGUUUUGUUUAUUCCUUCACUUUCUGAACAACCCUAAGGACGAAAAUCAUUCCUCCAAGUCUCCAAAUCAAAGGUAAGAACAUCCAUAACAUUACUAAUCUAUUCUAACAUCAAACCCAUGAUUCUUAACAUGAUUCUUGUGACCAAAACCUAGGGUUUGCAACAUAAUUCUUCCCAAAGUGAUUCAAGCUAGGGUUUGGGUGUUCUUCAUUAGAAAAGUGAAUUGUUAAACUUUGUUUAACAUAUUAAGGUAACGGAGAAGAGCAGGUUCGUGAUACUCUCGACGCUUAGGAGAACUUGCUGCUGCUGUUGAUUUGGUGAGCCCACAUCCUUGUUCGUGGGACACUUCCUGUUUCAUUUAUUAUUCUAGAUUUUCGGGCUGCGUCCCGAAGUUAGAUGAUGGUUGUGUCUCUUAGAAGCUCCAUAGAUAGUUGUCAGAAUUGUGGGUAGAUUGUCAAAGUCUCGUACGACUUAAUGGGUGUUUGCCACGUUUAUGACUAUU